rnacentral:rRNA from 1 species
GGGUUGUGAGGUUAAGCGACUAAGCGUACACGGUGGAUGCCCUGGCAGUCAGAGGCGAUGAAGGACGUGCUAAUCUGCGAAAAGCGUCGGUAAGGUGAUAUGAACCGUUAUAACCGGCGAUGUCCGAAUGGGGAAACCCAGUGCAAUUCGUUGCACUAUCGUUAACUGAAUACAUAGGUUAACGAGGCGAACCGGGGGAACUGAAACAUCUAAGUACCCCGAGGAAAAGAAAUCAACCGAGAUUCCCCCAGUAGCGGCGAGCGAACGGGGAGCAGCCCAGAGUCUGAAUCAGCUUGUGUGUUAGUGGAACGGUCUGGAAAGUCCGACGGUACAGGGUGAUAGUCCCGUACACCAAAAUGCACAGGUUGUGAACUCGAAGAGUAGGGCGGGACACGUGGUAUCCUGUCUGAAUAUGGGGGGACCAUCCUCCAAGGCUAAAUACUCCUGACUGACCGAUAGUGAACCAGUACCGUGAGGGAAAGGCGAAAAGAACCCCGGCGAGGGGAGUGAAAAAGAACCUGAAACCGUGUACGUACAAGCAGUGGGAGCACCUUCGGGUGUGACUGCGUACCUUUUGUAUAAUGGGUCAGCGACUUAUAUUCUGUAGCAAGGUUAACCGUAUAGGGGAGCCGCAGGGAAACCGAGUCUUAACUGGGCGUUAAGUUGCAGGGUAUAGACCCGAAACCCGGUGAUCUAGCCAUGGGCAGGUUGAAGGUUGGGUAACACUAACUGGAGGACCGAACCGACUAAUGUUGAAAAAUUAGCGGAUGACUUGUGGCUGGGGGUGAAAGGCCAAUCAAACCGGGAGAUAGCUGGUUCUCCCCGAAAGCUAUUUAGGUAGCGCCUCGUGAACUCAUCUUCGGGGGUAGAGCACUGUUUCGGCUAGGGGGUCAUCCCGACUUACCAACCCGAUGCAAACUACGAAUACCGAAGAAUGUUAUCACGGGAGACACACGGCGGGUGCUAACGUCCGUCGUGAAGAGGGAAACAACCCAGACCGCCAGCUAAGGUCCCAAAGUCAUGGUUAAGUGGGAAACGAUGUGGGAAGGCACAGACAGCCAGGAUGUUGGCUUAGAAGCAGCCAUCAUUUAAAGAAAGCGUAAUAGCUCACUGGUCGAGUCGGCCUGCGCGGAAGAUGUAACGGGGCUAAACCAUGCACCGAAGCUGCGGCAGCGACGCUUAUGCGUUGUUGGGUAGGGGAGCGUUCUGUAAGCCUGCGAAGGUGGCCUGUGAGGGCUGCUGGAGGUAUCAGAAGUGCGAAUGCUGACAUAAGUAACGAUAAAGCGGGUGAAAAGCCCGCUCGCCGGAAGACCAAGGGUUCCUGUCCAACGUUAAUCGGGGCAGGGUGAGUCGACCCCUAAGGCGAGGCCGAAAGGCGUAGUCGAUGGGAAACAGGUUAAUAUUCCUGUACUUGGUGUUACUGCGAAGGGGGGACGGAGAAGGCUAUGUUAGCCGGGCGACGGUUGUCCCGGUUUAAGCAUGUAGGCGGAGGUUCCAGGUAAAUCCGGUACCUUUUAACGCUGAGGUGUGAUGACGAGGCACUACGGUGCUGAAGUAACAAAUGCCCUGCUUCCAGGAAAAGCCUCUAAGCAUCAGGUAACAUUAAAUCGUACCCCAAACCGACACAGGUGGUCAGGUAGAGAAUACCAAGGCGCUUGAGAGAACUCGGGUGAAGGAACUAGGCAAAAUGGUGCCGUAACUUCGGGAGAAGGCACGCUGGUGUGUAGGUGAAGUCCCUGCGGACGGAGCUGAGACCAGUCGAAGAUACCAGCUGGCUGCAACUGUUUAUUAAAAACACAGCACUGUGCAAACACGAAAGUGGACGUAUACGGUGUGACGCCUGCCCGGUGCCGGAAGGUUAAUUGAUGGGGUUAUCCGUAAGGAGAAGCUCUUGAUCGAAGCCCCGGUAAACGGCGGCCGUAACUAUAACGGUCCUAAGGUAGCGAAAUUCCUUGUCGGGUAAGUUCCGACCUGCACGAAUGGCGUAAUGAUGGCCAGGCUGUCUCCACCCGAGACUCAGUGAAAUUGAACUCGCUGUGAAGAUGCAGUGUACCCGCGGCAAGACGGAAAGACCCCGUGAACCUUUACUAUAGCUUGACACUGAACAUUGAGCCUUGAUGUGUAGGAUAGGUGGGAGGCUUUGAAGCGUGGACGCCAGUCUGCGUGGAGCCAACCUUGAAAUACCACCCUUUAAUGUUUGAUGUUCUAACGU